UGCUUUUCUUGAUUAGUGGCGCACGGGUGAGUAAUGCAUGGAUAAUGUGCCCCUUAGUUCGGGAUAGCCACUGGAAACGGUGAUUAAUACCGGAUACUCCUUCUUGUUAUAAGACAAGUCGGGAAAGUUUUUCGCUAAGGGAUCAGUCUAUGUUCCAUCAGCUUGUUGGUGAGGUAAUGGCUCACCAAGGCUAUGACGGAUAUCUGGUUUGAGAGGAUGAUCAGACACACUGGAACUGAGACACGGUCCAGACUCCUACGGGAGGCAGCAGUGAGGAAUAUUGCACAAUGGAGGAAACUCUGAUGCAGCAACGCCGCGUGGAGGAUGACGCAUUUCGGUGUGUAAACUCCUUUUAUUAGGGAAGAUAAUGACGGUACCUAAUGAAUAAGCACCGGCUAACUCCGUGCCAGCAGCCGCGGUAAUACGGAGGGUGCAAGCGUUACUCGGAAUCACUGGGCGUAAAGGGUGCGUAGGCUGGCUUUUAAGUCAGAUGUGAAAUCCAAUGGCUCAACCAUUGAACUGCAUUUGAAACUGAAAGCCUAGAGUUCAGAAGGGGCAGAUGGAAUUAGUGGUGUAGGGGUAAAAUCCGUAGAUAUCACUAGGAAUAUCAAAAGCGAAGGCGAUCUGC
rnacentral:rRNA from 1 species